AGCUAGCGCCUGAGGAUGAGCCUGCGUCUCAUUAGCUAGUUGGUAGGGUAAUGGCCUACCAAGGCGACGAUGGGUAGCCGGCCUGAGAGGGUGAGCGGCCACACUGGGACUGAGAUACGGCCCAGACUCCUACGGGAGGCAGCAGUGAGGAAUAUUGCGCAAUGGCCGAAAGGUUGACGCAGCGACGCCGCGUGAGGGAUGAAGCUUUUAGGAGUGUAAACCUCUGUUAGGAGGGAAGAAUAAUGGCAAUUCGAACAGGGUUGUCAGAUGACGGUACCUCCAGAGGAAGCCCCGGCUAACUCCGUGCCAGCAGCCGCGGUAAUACGGGGGGGGCUAGCGUUGUCCGGAAUUACUGGGCGUAAAGGGCGCGUAGGCGGGAUAGCAAGUCAGUGGUGCAAACUUGAGGCUUAACUUCAAGCUUGCCAUUGAUACUGUUAUUCUUGAGUUCGGCAGAGGGAAGUGGAAUUCCUGGUGUAGCGGUGAAAUGCGUAGAUAUCAGGAAGAACACCGGUGGCGAAGGCGGCUUCCUGGUCCGAUACUGACGCUGAGGCGCGAAAGCGUGGGGAGCGAACAGGAUUAGAUACCCUGGUAGUCCACGCUGUAAACGAUGGGUACUAGGUGUUGGUUGUAAUGAUCAGCGCCGGAGCAAACGCAUUAAGUACCCCGCCUGGGGAAUACGGUCGCAAGACUGAAACUCAAAGGAAUUGACGGGGGCCCGCACAAGCGGUGGAGCAUGUGGUUUAGUUCGAUGCAACGCGAAGAACCUUACCUGGGCUUGAACUGCAGGUGCUAUCUCCUGAAAGGGAGUUUCCUUCGGGACGCCUGUAGAGGUGCUGCAUGGCUGUCGUCAGCUCGUGCUGUGAGGUGUUGGGUUAAGUCCCGCAACGAGCGCAACCCCUGUCCCUAGUUGCCAUCAGGUCAAGCUGGGAACUCUAGGGGGACUGCCCCGGAUAACGGGGAGGAAGGUGGGGAUGACGUCAAGUCAUCAUGGCCCUUACGUCCAGGGCUACACACGUGCUACAAUGGCCGGUACAACGGGUAGCGAGACAGUGAUGUGGAGCAAAUCCCUUAAAACCGGUCUCAGUUCAGAUUGCAGUCUGCAACUCGCCUGCAUGAAGCCGGAAUCGCUAGUAAUCGCGGAUCAGCAUG
rnacentral:rRNA from 1 species